AAUUAUCAACCUUGCGUGCUUUUACUAGUCCGCUCGGCUUGGAUGUGGGGGUUUGCUGGCUUCCUUCAGUGGAUGGUCUGCUCCCCUUAAAGACAUUAGUGGGAUCUCUUGUGGACCGUCACUUGGUGUGAUAAUUAUCUAUGCCAACGUUGACUUUGAAGCAAAACUUAUGGGAACCUGCUUACAACCGUCUCUUGCGGACAACUUUUUUGACC
rnacentral:misc_RNA from 1 species